rnacentral:rRNA from 1 species
CUACGGAGGGUGCAAGCGUUAUCCGGAAUCAUUGGGUUUAAAGUGUCCGUAGGCGGACUAUUAAGUCAGAGGUGAAAUCCCACAGCUCAACUGUGGAACUGCCUUUGAUACUGGUAGUCUUGAGUUAUAUGGAAGUAGAUAGAAUGCGUAGUGUAGCGGUGAAAUGCAUAGAUAUUACACAGAAUACCGAUUGCGAAGGCAGUCUACUACGUAUAUACUGACGCUAAGGGACGAAAGCGUGGGGAGCGAACAGAAUUAGAAACCCCAGUAGUCC